rnacentral:rRNA from 1 species
GGAAUAUUGGUCAAUGGACGAGAGUCUGAACCAGCCAAGUAGCGUGAGGGAUUAAGGCCCUACGGGUCGUAAACCUCUUUUGCCGGGGGAUAAGGACGCCCACGCGUGGGUAUUUGAAGGUACCCGGAGAAUAAGCAUCGGCUAACUCCGUGCCAGCAGCCGCGGUAAUACGGAGGAUGCGAGCGUUAUCCGGAUUUAUUGGGUUUAAAGGGUGCGCAGGCGGGCUGUUAAGUCAGCGGUGAAAGUUCCCGGCUCAACCGGGUCAGUGCCGUUGAUACUGGCAGUCUUGAAUGCGGUCAAGGCCGGCGGAAUGUGGCGUGUAGCGGUGAAAUGCAUAGAUAUGCCACAGAACACCGAUAGCGAAGGCAGCUGGCCGGGCCUGCAUUGACGCUCAGGCACGAAAGCGUGGGGAUCGAACA